rnacentral:lncRNA from 1 species
UUACAAAAUUGCUGGAAUACAUUCAGCAUCCUUUUAUAAGAUUGUCUUGUUGAAUGUGAUAAUGAAGCUUGUAAUAAUUGUGCUGUUACAGAUUCAAGAGAUGCAGUGGAACCGUAACUGGAUUUAGAUUUAACCAGGGAGCAAUUCGAUGGGCUUCCUGAAAAGAAAAACGAGAUAGCAAAUCACAGACCACAUUUGUUUUUCCCGCUAUGUGUUUUGCCCUAAAGUGGAUAUUGA